UCUCUCUGAAACUAACGGUCGCCGCAGCUGUUCUCUCUAUGAAACUGAGGUCGCCGGCCAGCCAUCUUCUUCGCAACAAUGUUGAUUUUGGGUAGGUGCUGCUCAACCGUGGCUGUCUCAAUCUUCUCCCUCUCAUCGGUAUCCUUCUCUUUUUCGUGUAGGUUUCAAGAUUGUUGCUGACAUCAGUCUUCUCCUUCACUUUUUUGUCUUCAUCGGCAAAAUAUUCUGCUUCUCAGUCAGAAUUACUCCAAAUGAGACAAUUAAUGCGCAAAUGUGCUCCCUUUGAAUCUACGCCUUAAGAUAUCAAUGGCACCUCAAGUGAACAGGUCCCUGAUGCCAACAGUGGCCAUGAACGAGUACCACAAACAUCAAGGAUGCCUAAUGUUGCUGAAAAUACUCAACCUGCUCAUGGUCAUACGGUAUGAUGUUCAAAUAGCAUAUGGAAGAUUUCAAUACUAUGAAGAGUUGCAGGAAUUGUUUGAGGACUAUGCAUUUAGAAACUUAUUAUUGUUGGUAUUCGAUAGGAAUUAGUUACAAUGACAUUAGCUAUUUAGUUUAAGCAUGUGAUUUUAUCUUUUAGUUCGUUGAGACAUUAAUAAUUAGUAUUUCCUUUUGUUUCUUUAGAUUUAAUGAAAUGUAUUGUACUUUUAUAAAUUAAUAAUAUUAUGUUUAAUUAGCAUUUUGCAUUAUAAUUGUUGUUAAAUAUGUCUAAUUAUACUUGAUUUUGUAUUUUUUAUUGCAUUUAAGAACGAAUUUAGUGGCCAUUAUAAUUGUCACUAUGCAAUAGUGGUU